CCUACGGGACGCAGCAGUGAGGAAUAUUGGUCAAUGGGAGAGAUCCUGAACCAGCCAAGCCGCGUGAGGGAAGACGGCCCUAUGGGUUGUAAACCUCUUUUGUCGGAGAACAAAACCCGGGACGUGUCCCGGACUGCGUGUAUCCGAAGAAAAAGCAUCGGCUAACUCCGUGCCAGCAGCCGCGGUAAUACGGAGGAUGCGAGCGUUAUCCGGAUUUAUUGGGUUUAAAGGGUGCGUAGGUGGUUAAUUAAGUCAGCGGUGAAAGUUUGUGGCUCAACCAUAAAAUUGCCGUUGAAACUGGUUGA
rnacentral:rRNA from 1 species